GGUGAUAUAACAGGUCGUCAACAUGCUCCAACAACUAGUGUCUUCCCUUCUACUGCUAGUGGUAGUGGUGGCUGUCGUAGCUGGUCAAGCGGACUGGAGCUACGAUCGACCCAGCACUGAUCUUCCAGGGGCUUGUUAAGGACAAAUUUCUCAAACAA